rnacentral:rRNA from 1 species
GAUGAACGCUGGCGGCGUGCCUAAUACAUGCAAGUCGAGCGAACAGACGAGGAGCUUGCUCCUCUGACGUUAGCGGCUGACGGGUGAGUAACACGUGUAUAACCUACCUAUAAUACUGGGAUAACUUCGUGAAACCGGAUCUUAUACCGUAUAAUAUAUUGAACCGCAUGGUUCUCUAGUUAAUUACGCUUUUUCUGUCUCUUAUAGAUUGUUCCUCGCCGCAUUAGCUAGUUGGUAAGGUAACGGCUUACCAAGGCAACGAUGCGUAGCCGACCGGAGAGGGUGAUGGGCCACACUGGAACUGAGACACGGACAAGACACCGACGGGAGGCAGCAGAAGGGAAUAUUCCGAAAGGGGCGAAAGCCUGACGGAGCAACGCCGCGUGAGUGAUGAAGGUCUACGGAGCGUAAAACUCUGUUAUGAGGGAAGAACAAAUGUGUAAGUAAAUAUGCACGUCGUGACGGUACCUAAUCAGAAAGCCACGGCUAACUACGUG